rnacentral:rRNA from 1 species
CGGAGGGAUCAUUACACAACAAAAUAUGAAGGCCUGGCUUUCGCGGCCGGCUGAAGUAUUUUUUUCACCCAUGUCUUUUGCGCACUUGUUGUUUCCUGGGCGGGUUCGCCCGCCACCAGGACCAAACCAUAAACCUUUUUUUCUUAUGCAGUUUCCAUCAGCGUCAGUAAAAACAAUGUAAUUAUUACAACUUUCAACAACGGAUCUCUUGGUUCUGGCAUCGAUGAAGAACGCAGCGAAAUGCGAUACGUAGUGUGAAUUGCAGAAUUCAGUGAAUCAUCGAAUCUUUGAACGCACAUUGCGCCCUUUGGUAUUCCAAAGGGCAUGCCUGUUCGAGCGUCAUUUGUACCUUCAAGCUUUGCUUGGUGUUGGGCGUUUUUUUGUCUCCCUCUUUCUGGGAGACUCGCCUUAAAACGAUUGGCAGCCGGCCUACUGGUUUCGGAGCGCAGCACAUUUUUUGCGCUUUGUAUCAGGAGAAAAGGACGGUACUCCAUCAAGACUCUACAUUUUUCACUUUUGACCUCGGAUCAGGUAGGGAUACCCGCUGAACUUAAGCAUAUCA